UUCUCUUUGGUGGAAAUGUUUUUGCUUUGCAAUGCAUGGCCUUAGAUAUUUGUUCCAAGUGUUUCCUAACCACCUCUCUUACCCUUUUCCUGGUAUGAUAGGAUGCUUCAUGAAUUAUGCUUGGUUGGACCACAAAUAUCAUUUCUUUCAUCCAUAGACCAUGAUCUGGGAUGAGUUGCUCUCUUGUGCCAAAUUUCUCAAAUUUCUUUGAGACUUGGGCCGUGAUUGGUCUCCAUUUUUUUCUGGAUGCCUAUCUUAGUUUCCCCAAACUCAUUGCUUAUUCUCAAGGCUGAACUUACACCAACGAUGUCUACAUGAUUACAUCUAUCAAAUCAAGUAUAAGCUUGUUUUACUGGAUUGUGUUGUAUAUGAAAAGCAUUGUUUCCCUGAGAUGUACUUUUUAUUAUCUUUGAUUGAUAGCUCCCUGGGCUAGAUAUAUUUCCAUGAAAACGACGGCAAGUUUGUCUGAUGUGUUGUGUACUGUUCAAUCUGAAUUUGAACCAUUGAUCAACCUUCCGUUCACAUGUUAUGUGUUUAUUCUACUUCGUGGAGAUGUACGCAUAAAACCUUAUCAAUUAUUGAUUGUAGGGUUCUAUUUCAUGGGUGGAGGGUCUAAAUCCUCUUGGGGGUGGCUACUGGGUAGAGCCUAGACGAAACUGUAUUGUAUGUACUUUUUUUUGGUUACUAGAUACUAGCAUCCACCUUAGCAAGAAGCCUCUGCAGGGUAGAUGCAUUCAAGAAUGUCUAUUACGUGAAAGGAGACAACUGCACAUCAAAAAUAGAUUUUAGAUCAUUGAAUUUCUCUCUCUUUUGCAGUAGAUUCUAAUAAAGGCGUGUAAAUUUCUGUUAAUGGGUUUAUGCUGAAGUUUUAAGAUCUUGAAGACUCUGCCUUUUCAUUUUAUGUUGCUGAUCUAUUGGGAAAGUAACCAACAGACUUGAAGAUUAAGACUUCUAAUCUUGUCCUUAUGUAUUUGGCAAAGGAUCAGGUUUGUACUCUCUUUUAAAUCUAACCAUAAUGACAUUUAGAGGGAAAUAUGUAAUAACUUUCAAGUUGUACAUGCCUAAAUGUUAAACUAUUUCCUAAAUGUUUUUGGUUUCUCUCUUUUCACUUAGUUUAUUUUAUUCUCUUUAACCACUUUUAUUUUUGUGAGCCUUGCCUAUAUUGUAGGAGAUGACUUAUCGAGGGAAGAGAACGAGGGAUAUACAUGCCUCAUAUACUAAACCUAAUUCGUCUUCGGAGUCACCAACCUCAAACAACUUACCUUUGGCCGAAAAUGCAUCACAACCAACCAAAAAAAACAACUCCAAUCACAACCACUUCAAGUUCCUUCUUGUGUUAGACUUGGACCAUUUAGUCCAUCGAGUACCAUUGCGUCUAAGGUUCAACCUCCAUGUUUGAACACAACAAAAAGUCCACCACCACCACUAUCAGGAGCUACAUGAAAAAAUCCACCUUCUAUUGUUCAAAAUUUAAAACAAUCCCACCUACGUCCACUGGUCAUAAAUCAUAUAGUAUUCCGCCUUCUACUCAUAUCUCCCCUACUAUUCCAUCUCACAACGACCCAUCUUCUACUGCACCAAAAUCACUCAUUAACCCUUCUACUUCCAUUGGUCAUAAGUCACGUAGUAUUCUUCCUUCUACUCAUAUCUCCCCUACUAUUCCAUCUCACAGUGACCUAUCUUCUACUGCACCAAAAUCACUCAUUAACCCUUCUACUUCCACUGGUCAUAAGUCACGUAGUAUUCCGCCUUCUACUCAUAUCUCCCCUACUAUUCUAUCACACAACGACCCAUCUUCUACUGUACCAAAAUCACACAUUAACCCUUCUACUUCCACUGGUCAUAAGUCACGUAGUAUUCCGCCUUCUACUCAUAUCUCCCCUACUAUUCCAUCCCAAAAAGGAUCAUCUUCUACUACACCAAAACCACUCAAAAACCCUUCUACUAGCUAUGGUCCUAUCCCACCUUCUGAUCAUAUUGAUACAUCAACAAGAAAUUGUUAGACUCAUCAAACAAACCAAAAAGGUGGUGAAGAACCAUUACAUAAGUCAAAAACAUCAAAAUCCCUACGGUCAGAGUCGUAUCCAUAUUGGACUUUAGAUGUAGAUUUUGAUGACAAGGAGGAGGUUAUGACCAAGGAUGCUCAGGGUAACAUAGCACUGGUUAGUAGUUCUAUUCCGAUAAUGGAUGUGUUGAGUAACAACGGUGUCAAAUAUUGCGUUGAAUUCAAUGAUUUUUGCCAACGACUUAGGAAAGGUGGAAAUAUGUUUGAUUAAAUUCAUUGGCAGCAUUGCAAAGGUUGAAACAUACUGUCCAGUUGGAGAAUCAAAUUGGCAUUAUGACGAUAAGAAUCUCAAAGCUAAGAUGGUAGAUUAGAUCAAAGAAGAUGAGCAUGGGGAAAAAAUGAGCUUGCUAGCUCUCUGGAAAAAAACUCAUAUGGGCAAGGAUGGAAGCUUUCAACCGGAAACCGACACAGCAGAUUUUGUGUUGGAAUCGUUGAAACAAGCAUGCCCUUCUAAGUCUGACUUAAAACCCGAAGAUGAAACCUUUGAGCACACCAUGUAUGGUGGAGAGAUUCCAGAACGUCCUGUAGGUUAUGGACUUGGAGUUCGAAAGGGCAACAUUUACGGUGUGCAUGGUGUUCUGAAUAAGCAAAAGGUUCAAAAGAGGACCGUGGUAGUGGAGAAGGAUAAAAAAAAAAAUUUCCGUUCUUAAGAAGGAGAAUAGCUUGUGGAAAGCCCAAGUUCAAGAGAACAACUCUGUACUCAAAACUUUAGUUGGACAAUUUUUUCAACUAGUAGGUAAACUUCAUAAAGGAGAGGCUUCAAUGCACCUUUUAGAUUGUGCACAAGCAGUCUUGGAAGUGACAAACCAAAAGGUACUCGAAAAUAAUAAAGGUCCAACAUAUCAAGAACGGGAGGACACUACUUGCGACUUCAAAUUGGCUACCAUCAUUGUUUUGCUAGAUCUUAGUAUUAGUUAGCUUUGUAAGGCUACAACUACAUUUUUAGUGUGUCUUAAUUUUGUGGUAUUUUUAGAAACAUAUUUAGUUAUGAAGUAUUGGGAUUUGAUGAACGUAACGUGUGUAGGGAUUUUAAUUGUACGAACUACGUUUAUGAUUUAUGAUAUGAUAAUAUAUACAUUAUUGUUCGAAGUA